AGAGAGAGACAUGCGCGCAUAUCAAUAAGCGGAGGAAAAGAAACUAACAAGGAUUCCCUUAGUAACGGCGAGUGAAGCGGGAAGAGCUCAAAUUUGAAAUCUUCAAGGUUUUACCUUGACGAAUUGUAGUUUAAAGAAGUGUUUUCUGCUGAAGUUUUGGUAAAAGUUCUUUGGAAUAGGACAUCAUAGAGGGUGAGAAUCCCGUAUUUGACCAUUAUUUUCAGCUUUGUGAUACACUUUCAAAGAGUCGGAUUGUUUGGGAAUGCAGUCCAAAAUGGGUGGUAAAUUUCAUCUAAAGCUAAAUAUUGGCGAGAGACCGAUAGCGAACAAGUACCGUGAGGGAAAGAUGAAAAGAACUUUGAAAAGAGAGUUAAACAGUACGUGAAAUUGUCAAAAGGGAAGCGUUUGACACCAGUGUUGUUUUCUCGAAAAUCAAUUAAAAAUGGCUCGAUUUUGUAUUGCUUGAGACCUUAAAAGCUCACUGUACAUUUUUCGUGUCUUUUUUAAUGCACUUUUCGUUUAACAAGUCAACAUCAGUUUCUUUUAUUGUAAAAGGGUCAUUGGAAGGUGGCUUUCUUUUCGGAGAAAGUGUUUAUAGCCUUUGGCCUCUGCAAUCGGAGAGACUGAGGUCUGCAGCGUAGACUCUUCGGGGUUAGAUACAUUUGUGCUAAGUUAUAGCUUUUUAUAGACAACUUGUUGACUAUAAUUAGUCUUGUAGCUUACUCGCUUAUGCUAUUUUACCUACGCUUAGGAUGUUGAAGAUGUAGCACAUCAU
rnacentral:rRNA from 1 species